UACGUAGGGUGCGAGCGUUGUCCGGAAUUAUUGGGCGUAAAGAGCUCGUAGGCGGUGUGUCACGUCGUUCGUGAAAACCUGCAGCUUAACUGUGGGCGUGCGGUCGAUACGGGCAUCACUGGAGUUCGGCAGGGGAGACUGGAAUUCCUGGUGUAGCGGUGAAAUGCGCAGAUAUCAGGAGGAACACCGGUGGCGAAAGCAGCUUUCUGGGACGGUACUGACGCUGAGACGCGAAAGCGUGGGGAGCGAACAGG
rnacentral:rRNA from 1 species